CUCUAGCAGCUAAGGAGCCAUCGGUACAUUAAUGGAGACAUUUUCUUCCCUUUUGAUUGUACCUGAUUUGAAACAGGAAAGCGUGAAUGAAAAACAAAAUGUGGCCUCACACCAAAUCCACAAAAUUUAAAUAACCGGAAACAGAUUAUAUCAUUCAAAAUAGAUACAAGAAAUGUCGGUGCCAAAUCUUUACAGCCUGUGCAUGCAUUAACCGUUUAUUGACACAGAAAUGAACCAUCAUUUUCUGAUAAUGCAUGGGACAAUGUGCUGAUAUUUGUCGUAAUUAUCAGGGAAUCAAAAGGACCUCCUAAUGAAAUCGUUGCAAUUCAAACAAAGAAGCAAAAGUCUAAUAGAAUUCAGCAUCAAAACCGCUAACUUACACAAAUUCA